rnacentral:ncRNA from 1 species
CCGGGAACAGCCCAGCUGGAGAAUCGGGCGGCUGUGCCGUCCGAAUUGUAGUCUGGAGACGCGUCCUCAGCGACGGACCGGGCCCAAGUCCCCUGGAAAGGGGCGCCUGGGAGGGUGAGAGCCCCGUCCGGCCCGGACCCUGUCGCCCCACGGGGCGCGGUCAACGAGUCGGGUUGUUUGGGAAUGCAGCCCAAAUCGGGCGG